rnacentral:rRNA from 1 species
UACGUAGGGGGCAAGCGUUAUCCGGAUUUACUGGGUGUACAGGGAGCGCAGACGGCAGUGCAAGUCUGGAGUGAAAGCCCGGGGCCCAACCCCGGAACUGCUCUGGAAACUGUGCGGCUAGAGUACUGGAGGGGCAGGCGGAAUUCCUAGUGUAGCGGUGAAAUGCGUAGAUAUUAGGAGGAACACCAGUGGCGAAGGCGGUCUGCUGGACAGCAACUGACGCUGAGGCGCGAAAGCGUGGGGAGCAAACAGG